AGCAUGGUGUCUGUUGCAGGUGGCCGGACUGUGCCAUGCUGCUCCAGACCCAAGGUGGCAGCUCUCACUGCGGGGACCCUGCUACUUCUGACAGCCAUCGGGGCGGCAUCCUGGGCCAUUGGUGAGAGCGGUUCCUGUACCUCUGACCUCCCCUGGCCCCUGCAGCCUCCAGCCUGCCUGCCCUCACCCCUCCCUUCUCUGCAGUGGCUGUUCUCCUCAGGAGUGACCAGGAGCCGCUGUACCCAGUGCAGGUCAGCUCUGCGGACGCUCGGCUCAUGGUCUUUGACAAGACGGAAGGGACGUGGCGGCUGCUGUGCUCCUCGCGCUCCAACGCCAGGGUAGCCGGACUCAGCUGCGAGGAGAUGGGCUUCCUCAGGUACUGGGGGCCCUCGGAGGGGUGGCAGCCGGGAGGGGCUGGGGAGCAGGCCUAACCCCUGCCCCGCCCAGGGCGCUGACCCACUCCGAGCUGGACGUGCGAACGGCGGGCGCGAACGGCACGUCGGGCUUCUUCUGUGUGGACGAGGGGAGGCUGCCCCACACCCAGAGGCUGCUGGAGGUCAUCUCCGUGUGGUGAGGAGGGCAGCAGGCAGGUGGGGCAACACCUCGGACCCCCAAGGCACUCCCUCUCCCCGUUUUCCUUCCACCUGUCUUAACU
rnacentral:sRNA from 1 species